GUAAAUGGAUUUGAUAUUGUAGCUAGCAACUCUACAGGUUAUAUUUGUGUAAUGUGAAAUAGGGCUCUCACAGAAAGAAAAAAAUAUGAGUUAUGUAACCUUCAAUCCAAUGUACAUGAUAAGUAAUAUAUCUAGUGUCUUACUUUUCAUUUGAGUAUAUUGUGCUAUUCACUCCAAUAUUUUCUGCGUUUUGCAUUCCUGGCUUCUGUUUUAUGAUCCAAAGCAAUAGUGUAUCUGGAAAUCCGGUGCUUAUGUAGGUUUUUUUUUCUUGCUUCUUAGCUGUAAAGUUGUUAAGUUCAUCUUUGAGGUGUCUACUUUAUGAAGUACAAUCUAUUAGUUUCCUAAUUAACCUUCCACCCAUUGCCUUUAAUCCCCUCGAUCUCUUAUUGAGGAUCGGUGUAGAAAAACUAAUGGUUAACAAUAUUCCCUAGAAAUCAAGGUAUGUUUCACCUAGCUACUUCAAUUAUCUCCUUCGAUUUCCUGUUAGUUUUGCUACUAUUCCUCCCAGAAUAUUUCGAAACCAAGAACUAUUAAACAGGAACAUUUAGCAAUUAGCAGUAAUAGUAAUAGUCAAAUUCAAGCAACACAUUCUGUUAAAGUAAGAAUAAACCCACAUAUGUUUAGUCCUAUCCGUGUAAUCAACAGCAAGAAUCAUGAUAUACAAGUAUAAAAGAAAAGUAAAAAACGGAAGAGAGAGGAGAGGGUAAGAGAGACAAACGGGAGCAACUCCAUUAGUAGCCCAACGGUCGCGAGGGUCUUCAUUAAGGUCAUGUUCAAUAUCAGUUAACCCAGCUGCUUUCAACUUUGUAAACAACAACCUUCUUGGACUGCUUCGAAUCAAGGCCUUCUUAAUGUUGUUGUAAUUAGUGGUGAUUUUGGAUGAUGGGUUUGUAGAAACGACUGCUGCAGGUACCCAAGUACAAGCACAAGUUUCCGCCAUAACUUCGUUUCAAGGGAAGAUUUUGUAUAUGGAAAAUAUGAUGAAUAUCACACGUUUUAUGAAUCUUCCGAGAAAGAAGCAUGGUGAGCUAAAUGGAGGAGAAAUGUAGAUCUAGCAAAUGAGAUGGGGGCUCUUGUUUGUUUUUGGGUCAUUUUGUGAUUUCUAGUAACGUUGAAUUUGUUUCUAUGAAUCUUAAUUUUAUGUAUUUUGGUCAUUAAAAACACUAAGUUAGUUAGUGAACAACUAUUUUGUAAUGCAUGUGUCCUAUGGGCACUAAUAUUGUAAUAUUACUCUUUAAGUCAAUGAAAAUCUUUUAUUAUUGA